UACGUAGGUGGCAAGCGUUGUCCGGAUUUACUGGGCUUAAAGAGCGCGCAGGCGGUCGUGCAAGUCGCGUGUGAAAGCCCCCGGCUCAACUGGGGAGGGUCACGCGAUACUGCUCGACUCGAAGGCAGGAGAGGGAAGUGGAAUUCCCGGUGUAGUGGUGAAAUGCGUAGAUAUCGGGAGGAACACCAGUGGCGAAGGCGACUUCCUGGCCUGUUCUUGACGCUGAGGCGCGAAAGCUAGGGUAGCAAACGGG
rnacentral:rRNA from 1 species